UUAUAAGAUAGUGCAUAACAUGUUAUCUCAUUCUUUUUUUGGUGGUUAGCUUCAUGCGGAUGCCGCCACGAACGUUCGACACUUUGCUCGAACUGCUGCGCCCCGCAAUAUCCAAGCAGGACACAAACCACCGGCCUACUAUUUCGGCGCACGACUGCCUGGCCAUGACCAUUAGGUAUGCCAAGGAAGUGCGAGAUAAAUUGGCGCACUACUUCGUCACAGACGGUCAGGUGCCUUGGCAGGACAAAGUGGUGAACAGCACUUGAGGCGUACAAGGUGAAGGUGUCGACACCAGUCUCCUCAGCCGUAUCAGAGGUACGUUCCGGUUCCGCUGCAUGGCUUGGCCGAGGCGGUGAUCUGCAGUGAUGAAAACUUUUCUCUAUGUAUUUGAUGAUGCCACUAGUACAUGAACAGUUUUAGGCAUUCUUCGGGAGUUAAAAUGCCAUUAUGAUUUCACUCAACACGAGGUUUAUUUUACACUUGCGUUACCUCUUGAUUGAGCACUGCUGUAUU